UACAAUGAAGAGUUUGAUCCUGGCUCAGGAUGAACGCUAGCGACAGGCUUAACACAUGCAAGUCGAGGGGCAGCGGGGAGUAGCAAUACUUCGCCGGCGACCGGCGCACGGGUGAGUAACACGUGUGCAACCAACCCCGUACCGGGAGAUAACCCGCGGAAACGUGGACUAACAUCCCAUGAUACUUCAAGCCCGCAUGGUCUUGAUUUUAAAAGUUAAUGGUACGGGACGGGCACGCGCGACAUUAGGUAGUUGGCGGGGUAACGGCCCACCAAGCCGACGAUGUCUAGGGGUUCCGAGAGGAAGGUCCCCCACACUGGAACUGAGACACGGU
rnacentral:rRNA from 1 species